rnacentral:misc_RNA from 1 species
AAGUCGUAACAAGGUUUCCGUAGGUGAACCUGCGGAAGGAUCAUUAACAUUAUCUAUCAAAACACUAACGGGGGUCACAUCCCGUUUUUGUAUCCCAACCAAACAGCGAACUAAUGUGUGAGGAAGUGGGUUGUAACCCAGCCUCUUUCUUGCACUUUUUUCAUUUUUCCUUUAACCACAUUUUAAACCCAAUGAAAUUUUAUGACUGAACCUGUUCUUGCCUCUCGAAAGGGAGAAGAACAUAAAAAACAAAAACUUAAGAAACAACUCUUAACAACGGAUAUCUUGGCUCUC